rnacentral:lncRNA from 1 species
CAAGCCCUGUGUGUUUUUCAGGCAGCUUGGCAUUUGGUAAGUAUGCUUUAGAACUUGAAAGGUCAACAAGAUCCACACUACAGCUGUGGCACCUUGUUAUGUGUUUAGAAAACUAAUUAGUAACACAAGUACUAUGGGGGAAUGCUCUUCUGUCCCCUCAUAGCUUAAUCUCUUGUCCUCUGAGACACUCAGGAGAAAAUAUAGAUGGCUCUUGAAAGAGCAGCACUAUGAGGUCACAGCAUCAGAGAAUCAUAGGGAUUGGAAGGGACCUCUGGAGAUCAUCACCCAUUGACCAGCAUUAAGGCAAUGCUGCAAGACCUCAGUGUUUUGGGGGAAAUUUUGAGCUACAGGAAAAGAAAGAAAAAAAGAAAACCAAACCAACCAAAACUGUUUCAAAGGAAAAACAGCAAAUAAAGAAAAAUAACUGUGGUUUAUCCUGCAGACCUAAAGCUGCUAAUGCAGCUCUGCAGAGACAUGCUGGACCCUCUUUGAACCUUGGAGCUGGCACACCCUCAGGAGCUAUUCAAAGAGUAUUAGCUCCAGCUGCUCUGGUUGGGGUCAGGAUGGAUUUCCAGCCUGCUGCCUGUGUGAAGAUAUACUAGAAAUGACAUGAAAGUGAGCUUCUGACUUGAUGAUCCUUCUAAUAACAACACUGCAGAGAGCCAUGAUUACUGUCUCACACCAGAGCUCAGAUCAAACGCGAUCAAUUUUCAAGUGAAAAAGAUGGUUUUCCUGACCAUGCUGCUAACGACACUGUGUCCCAUGUCCAUCAUUUAAAAACAUCUUAGAAUAUGGCACAGAUGUUCCCAUCCUCAAAGCUUUGCACCAGCAUCAUGCUGGCUGCAGGAGCAAUCCUGUGAGCAGGAGGGUUUCUACAUGAGCUGGGUGUCCAGGCGUGAAGCAUAGCAGCAAAGCUCCUGCACACCCUCUGUGCCCAAUAGCUCCCUGCUCUUCGCUUCAACCCACCCAGUUUGUUUCACUGCUUGUUGUUCUCUCCGGAGAAUUCUGUUGCUUGAUGAAAAUAUUUUCUUCCUUUCCAAAUGACUGCGCUCCCUGGCAAU